rnacentral:rRNA from 1 species
UACGAAGGUGGCUAGCGUUGUUCGGAUUUAUUGGGCGUAAAGGGUCCGCAGGCGGUUUGGAUAGUCAGAUGUGAAAUUUCACAGCUCAACUGUGAGCACGCAUUUGAAACUUCCAGACUAGAGUAUGAGAGGGGUAAAAGGAAUUUCUAGUGUAGGGGUGAAAUCCGUAGAUAUUAGAAAGAACACCGGCCGCGAAGGCGUUUUACUGGCUCAUUACUGACGCUCAUGGACGAAAGCCAGGGGAGCAAACGGG